GUAGAAACUUGUUUUUGUUUUGUUUGUUGAUUUGUCUCUGAACACUUUAGACCACCACAAUGUUGUUUCUUCUUCUGUCAGCAGGUUGACUCCAGAGUUG